rnacentral:tRNA from 1 species
UCUCUGGUGGUCUAGUGGCUAGGAUUCGGCGCUUUCACCGCCGCGGCCCGGGUUCGAUUCCCGGUCAGGGAA